GAAAGAAAGAUUAAUGGUGUGAGGGAGAUAAACAGGGAAGAGGUGUGUGUGUGUGUGUGUGUGUGUGUGUGUGUGUGUAUGCCUGUGGAGGCCAGAAGAGCAGGUCAUGGAGCACUCAGCCACAGAGUCAUCUCUCCAGCCCCUGUGCCAGGAUUUUGAAAUGGGUUCAGUGUGAUCAAACUCAGGUCCUCAUGCGUACACAGCAGGCACUCCACUGAUCGCCAUCUCCCGACUCCAGGUCCUCAUGCGUACACAGCAGGCACUCCACUGAUCGCCAUCUCCCGACCCCAGGUCCUCAUGCGUAUACAGCAGGCACUCCACUGAUCGCCAUCUCCCGACCCCAGGUCCUCAUGUGUACACAGCAGGCACUCCACUGAUCGCCAUCUCCCGACCCCAGGUCCUCAUGCGUAUACAGCAGGCACUCCACUGAUCGCCAUCUCCCGACCCCAGGUCCUCAUGCGUACACAGCAGGCACUCCACUGAUCGCCAUCUCCCGACCCCAGGUCCUCAUGCGUAUACAGCAGGCACUCCACUGAUCGCCAUCUCCCGACCCCAGGUCCUCAUGCGUACACAGCAGGCACUCCACUGAUCGCCAUCUCCCGACCCCAGGUCCUCAUGCGUAUACAGCAGGCACUCCACUGAUCGCCAUCUCCCGACCCCAGGUCCUCAUGUGUACACAGCAGGCACUCCACUGAUCGCCAUCUCCCGACCCCAGGUCCUCAUGCGUAUACAGCAGGCACUCCACUGAUCGCCAUCUCCCGACCCCAGGUCCUCAUGCGUACACAGCAGGCACUCCACUGAUCGCCAUCUCCCGACCCCAGGUCCUCAUGCGUAUACAGCAGGCACUCCACUGAUCGCCAUCUCCCGACCCCAGGUCCUCAUGCGUACACAGCAGGCACUCCACUGAUCGCCAUCUCCCGACCCCAGGUCCUCAUGUGUACACAGCAGGCACUCCACUGAUCGCCAUCUCCCGACCCCAGGUCCUCAUGUGUACACAGCAGGUCACCUCACAGUCUUCCCCCGACCCCCACACCUUUUAAAAAGACCGAAUAGAAAGCCGGUGGGGAGGCUGGUGAGAUGGCUCGGCCGCUAAAGGCACCUGCCACCAAGUUUGACAGCCUGAGUUUCAUGCCUAUGUUGUCCCCUGACCUCCACAAAUGUGCUGCUGUGAUUACCACUUAACACAGAGAAGGGGAUCCCUGGGGCUCACUAGGCAGCUGACACAGCUGAAUCACACAAGCCCUCUGGCUGUUCAGAAAUUGUCUUUAAAAAAUGUGGAUAGUGACUGGUGAAAACAUCUGAGACUGACCUCUCCACAUCUCUCAGGGACCCCUGGUCCCCACCUCACACAUACACAUAUGCAAAAUACAAAGGUAUGGAAAUCUGGUAGGGAAUUUCAGGGUUUUGUGAACUGUCCCUGUUGGAAGUAUUAUCACUUGGAAUAAUUACUAAAAAUCAUGCUAGUCAACAGUUCUUAAAACAGGCACCACUGUCUUCUCAAUGCCUCUGGCUGGCUUUCUUUCCCUGUGUCCUCUCUGAGGCCUCCUGAGAGCAUGACUUUUAAAUGGAAACUACAAGGAAAGCCAACUAUCUGACCCAGGUCAGUCCAGAGAGCAAGCUGCAGCCAUGGUGACUGGAACAUAGAAAUGAGUCACAGGGAAGGAGGUGUCCGCUUGCAGGGUUCUGUGUCCUUGGCUCCUCUAGAAGGGCACGCAGCUUGCUGCCUACUGAGUGACCAGUCCAGGAGGGUGUGGGGACAUGACUGAGUACAGAGAGACUUCUAAAACUGGGCAGUAUGGAGCUCUUCCAUUUAGGGACAACCACUCUUUGGACUGUUGGAUGCCUCCAGUGUGGUAGAAAGAACAGAACAAAAGGAAAAGCUUGCUUGGGUGAAAGUUACCCUCAUCUCAGGGAUAAACGUCUGAGUCCUGCAUAAAACCCAAACACCCUCCUAGGCUAAGAAGAGAGCGAGCAUGUAAAGACCAGAAGGCAUUUUCAGGCGGCUUCUUUAAAAACAGCCCGAGAAGUGCCCCGCUCCCCAUAAACCAUGCCCUUGAGGCUCCAGUUUGUUUCUCUGCUUAUUCAACUUUGAGUUAAGGCAGUAGUUGUCCACUACUCUAAACAAUUUUUAUUGCAUAUUUAUUUAUUUAUAAAUAAAUGUGUAUGUGCGCGCGCGUGCGCGCACACACACACACACACACACACACACACACACACACACGACACAAGUGCAUGGAGGUCAGAGGUCAGCCUGCAAGUGUCAGCUCUCUCUUUGUACCACGUGGGUCCUGGCCUUGAACUCAGGUCAUCAGGACUGGCCACAAGCACUUUUACCCUCUGUCUCACACACACACUGCCUUUUCUUUUUUCAUAUACUAGCUCAUGUUUAUUGACUCUGCUGUUUGUGUUGCUGCACAGAGGAAAUGCAUACGGUUGUUAUCUGAGUGUUCUUCCAGAACAUUCUGGUAGGAACAGAAGCUCCCUGUCACCUCAUUAAAGCUUGUCCAGUUCUUAAGAGCAAGCACCAGCUAGCUACAAAUACACCAAGGCUGACUAAGAUUCUUGUGUCUACUUUGACUUAUAAAUCAAAAGACAAACCUAGUAAAUGUCUCCGAGCAGCUAUACAACGCUGAUAUGAAAUAGAAAGGCAGUAGUUCGUUCAAGAGUAAACAUUAAAGAGACAAGUCUUUCUCAGAAGUUUCUGAAUAAUUCAAUCUGAAAUUUCCUUUAUGGUUUCAUGUUUUGAAUGCCUAGUCCCUGGCCAGUUGCAUGAAUUUGAAGAAGGUGGAGUCUGGUGGCAUUAGUGAGUCACCAAGAGUGGGCCUUAGAAGGUCAUACUCAUCUCUGGUUCCACUCUAGAUGUGCUGGCUAGUUUCAUGUCAACUUGAUGAAAGCUACAGUAAUCUGAGAGGGGGCGGGGAGGGGGGACCUCAAUUGAAUAAAUGGCUCCAUAAGACUGUCCUGCAGGCAAGCUUGUAGAGCAUUUUCUAGAUCAAUAAUUGAUGUGGGAGGGCCAGGCCCAUUAUGGGUGGUCGUUCCGGGAUACAUUAAAAAAAAUUGAGGGGCCAGAGAGGUGGCUCAGUGGUUAAGAACACUUGUUGCUCUUUCAAAGAACAUGGGUUCGAAUCCUAGCACCCAUACGGUAGUUUUACAACCAUUCCUAACUCCAUAUUCCAGGGGUCCAAUGCCCUCAUCUAAUCUUCAUGGUCACUAAGCACACAAGUAGUACACAUUCAUACACACAGAUAAAACACUCAAACAUAAAAUAAAAGAUAAAUCUAAUAAAAAGAAACAAUUUAAAAAGAAAGAAAGAAAACAAACUGAGCAAGUCAGGAGGAGCAGGACAGUAGCAGCAUUCCCCUACGGCCUCUGCAUCAGUUUCUGUCUCCAGGUUCCUCUCCUGCUUAAGUUUCUGCCCUGACUUCGCUUCAUGAUGGCCUAUGAUUUCAGCACAUGUGAUCAGGACAUGUAAGCUGAAAUAAAUCGUUUUCUUCCCAAGUUGCUUUUUUU